rnacentral:rRNA from 1 species
GGCACUACGGUGCUGAAGCAACAAAUGCCCUGCUUCCAGGAAAAGCCUCUAAGCAUCAGGUAACAUCAAAUCGUACCCCAAACCGACACAGGUGGUCAGGUAGAGAAUACCAAGGCGCUUGAGAGAACUCGGGUGAAGGAACUAGGCAAAAUGGUGCCGUAACUUCGGGAGAAGGCACGCUGACACGUAGGUGAAGUGAUUUACUCACGGAGCUGAAGUCAGUCGAAGAUACCAGCUGGCUGCAACUGUUUAUUAAAAACACAGCACUGUGCAAACACGAAAGUGGACGUAUACGGUGUGACGCCUGCCCGGUGCCGGAAGGUUAAUUGAUGGGGUCAGCGCAAGCGAAGCUCCUGAUCGAAGCCCCGGUAAACGGCGGCCGUAACUAUAACGGUCCUAAGGUAGCGAAAUUCCUUGUCGGGUAAGUUCCGACCUGCACGAAUGGCGUAAUGAUGGCCAGGCUGUCUCCACCCGAGACUCAGUGAAAUUGAACUCGCUGUGAAGAUGCAGUGUACCCGCGGCAAGACGGAAAGACCCCGUGAACCUUUACUAUAGCUUGACACUGAACAUUGAGCCUUGAUGUGUAGGAUAGGUGGGAGGCUUUGAAGUGUGGACGCCAGUCUGCAUGGAGCCGACCUUGAAAUACCACCCUUUAAUGUUUGAUGUUCUAACGUGGACCCGUAAUCCGGGUUGCGGACAGUGUCUGGUGGGUAGUUUGACUGGGGCGGUCUCCUCCUAAAGAGUAACGGAGGAGCACGAAGGUUGGCUAAUCCUGGUCGGACAUCAGGAGGUUAGUGCAAUGGCAUAAGCCAGCUUGACUGCGAGCGUGACGGCGCGAGCAGGUGCGAAAGCAGGUCAUAGUGAUCCGGUGGUUCUGAAUGGAAGGGCCAUCGCUCAACGGAUAAAAGGUACUCCGGGGAUAACAGGCUGAUACCGCCCAAGAGUUCAUAUCGACGGCGGUGUUUGGCACCUCGAUGUCGGCUCAUCACAUCCUGGGGCUGAAGUAGGUCCCAAGGGUAUGGCUGUUCGCCAUUUAAAGUGGUACGCGAGCUGGGUUUAGAACGUCGUGAGACAGUUCGGUCCCUAUCUGCCGUGGGCGCUGGAGAACUGAGGGGGGCUGCUCCUAGUACGAGAGGACCGGAGUGGACGCAUCACUGGUGUUCGGGUUGUCAUGCCAAUGGCACUGCCCGGUAGCUAAAUGCGGAAGAGAUAAGUGCUGAAAGCAUCUAAGCACGAAACUUGCCCCGAGAUGAGUUCUCCCUGAGACUUUAGGUCUCCUGAAGGAACGUUGAAGACGACGACGUUGAUAGGCCGGGUGUGUAAGCGCAGCGAUGCGUUGAGCUAACCGGUACUAAUGAACCGUGAG